rnacentral:rRNA from 1 species
UACAGGGGGGGCAAGCGUUGUUCGGAAUUACUGGGCGUAAAGGGUUCGUAGGUGGCCACUUAAGUCAGACGUGAAAUCCCUCAGCUUAACUGGGGAACUGCGUCUGAUACUGAGUGGCUAGAGUCCGGAAGAGGAGUGUGGAAUUCCUGGUGUAGCGGUGAAAUGCGCAGAUAUCAGGAAGAACACCUAUGGCGAAGGCAGCACUCUGGGACGGUACUGACGCUGAGACGCGAAAGCGUGGGGAGCAAACAGG